GAUGAACGCUGGCGGCGUGCCUAAUACAUGCAAGUCGAGCGAACAGACGAGGAGCUUGCUCCUCUGAUGUUAGCGGCGGACGGGUGAGUAACACGUGGAUAACCUACCUAUAAGACUGGGAUAACUUCGGGAAACCGGAGCUAAUACCGGAUAACAUGUUGAACCGCAUGGUUCAACAGUGAAAGACGGUCUUGCUGUCACUUAUAGAUGGAUCCGCGCCGCAUUAGCUAGUUGGUAAGGUAACGGCUUACCAAGGCAACGAUGCGUAGCCGACCUGAGAGGGGGAUCGGCCACACUGGAACUGAGACACGGUCCAGACUCCUACGGGAGGCAGCAGUAGGGAAUCUUCCGCAAUGGGCGAAAGCCUGACGGAGCAACGCCGCGUGAGUGAAGAAGGUCUUCGGAUCGUAAAACUCUGUUAUUAGGGAAGAACAAAUGUGUAAGUAACUAUGCACGUCUUGACGGUACCUAAUCAGAAAGCCACGGCUAACUACGUG
rnacentral:rRNA from 1 species